rnacentral:lncRNA from 1 species
UCUAACGUGCAAAUCUGCCAUUUAACAAAAUGGUGCAAAUCCAUUUCACUUUUUUGGGCCAAUGCGCAGACCUUUACUGCUAUAAACAGUGCCGCUUGGCUUUGGGAAUGAUUUUAAACCCCCUUUCCUUCAAACAUAACUUAAUUUCAACCAUUUUUUAAAAAUAGCAACAGCCAUUAACCCCCAAAUGAUAGGGUUUCAUUUGGCUAGCAGACGACGAGCCAAUAUUGGACUAAUGGCCGACGACGUGCGAUCAAC